rnacentral:tRNA from 1 species
GGAGAAAUAUCGAAGUGGUCAUAACGGGGCGCACUCGAAAUGCGUUUGGGAUUAAUUCCCACGUGGGUUCGAAUCCCACUUUCUCCGCCA